UGGGGAAUCUUGGACAAUGGGCGCAAGCCUGAUCCAGCCAUGCCGCGUGAGCGAUGAAGGCCUUAGGGUUGUAAAGCUCUUUCACCGGUGAAGAUAAUGACGGUAGCCGGAGAAGAAGCCCCGGCUAACUCCGUGCCAGCAGCCGCGGUAAUACGGAGGGGGCUAGCGUUGUUCGGAAUUACUGGGCGUAAAGCGCGCGUAGGCGGACUGAUCAGUCAGGGGUGAAAUCCCGGGGCUCAACCCCGGAACUGCCUUUGAUACUGUCAGUCUUGAGUCCGGAAGAGGCGAGUGGAAUACCGAGUGUAGAGGUGAAAUUCGUAGAUAUUAGGUGGAACACCAGUGGCGAAGGCGCCUAACUGGUCCGGUACUGACGCUGAGGAACGAAAGCGUGGGGAGCAAACAGGAUUAGAUACCCUGGUAGUCCACGCCGUAAACGAUGAGUGCUAGAUGUUGGGAUUUUCGGAUUUCAGUGUCGCAGCUAACGCAUUAAGCACUCCGCCUGGGAGUACGGCCGCAAGGUUAAAACUCAAAGG
rnacentral:rRNA from 1 species